UUGCGGGUGAAAGUCCCGUCGUAGAAGAUUAGCCAGAUCACUACGUAGCGAGUCUUGCAUCUCCGGCGGUA
rnacentral:sRNA from 1 species